ensembl:snRNA U7 U7 small nuclear RNA
CAGUGUACAGCUCUUUUAGAAUUUGUCCAGCAAGUUUUCUGGUUUUUACCAGAAAACCCCU